rnacentral:rRNA from 1 species
AACAUCUAAGUACCCCGAGGAAAAGAAAUCAACCGAGAUUCCCCCAGUAGCGGCGAGCGAACGGGGAGCAGCCCAGAGCCUGAAUCAGCAUGUGUGAUAGUGGAACGGUAUGGAAAGGCCGGCGAUACAGGGUGAUAGCCCCGUACACAAAAUUGCAUGUGUUGUGAGCUCGAUGAGUAGGGCGGGACACGUGGUAUCCUGUCUGAAUAUGGGGGGACCAUCCUCCAAGGCUAAAUACUCCUGACUGACCGAUAGUGAACCAGUACCGUGAGGGAAAGGCGAAAAGAACCCCGGCGAGGGGAGUGAAAAAGAACCUGAAACCGUGUACGUACAAGCAGUGGGAGCAUCCUUCGGGGUGUGACUGCGUACCUUUUGUAUAAUGGGUCAGCGACUUAUAUUCUGUAGCAAGGUUAACCGAAUAGGGGAGCCGCAGGGAAACCGAGUCUUAACUGGGCGUUAAGUUGCAGGGUAUAGACCCGAAACCCGGUGAUCUAGCCAUGGGCAGGUUGAAGGUUGGGUAACACUAACUGGAGGACCGAACCGACUAAUGUUGAAAAAUUAGCGGAUGACUUGUGGCUGGGGGUGAAAGGCCAAUCAAACCGGGAGAUAGCUGGUUCUCCCCGAAAGCU